UCCGGUUAGCUCAGUUGGUAGUGCGCUCCCCUGGAAACGGAGAGGUCCCUGGUUGGAUACCAGGACAAGGCGGAA
rnacentral:tRNA from 1 species